rnacentral:rRNA from 1 species
AGGACGAACGCUGGCGGCGUGCUUAACACAUGCAAGCCGAGCGGAAAGGCCCUUCGGGGUACUCGAGCGGCGAACGGGUGAGUAACACGUGAGUAAUCUGCCCCUAGCUCUGGGAUAGCUCCGGGAAACCGGGAUUAAUACCAGAUACAACCACUUUAGACAUCUCUUGUGGUGGAAAGAAUUUCGGCUAGGGAUGAACUCGCGGCCUAUCAGCUUGUUGGUGAGGUAACGGCUCACCAAGGCGACGACGGGUA